UUUUGACGGUUCGUUGUCAAACUUCAAAUAUGUUUUGUUAUUGUUUUAUUUUUGUUUUCUCGUUUUUAUUUUAACAGACGGAAAAAUGCCGAAAUCUACCCAACUCGUUCCUGGUGAAGCAAGACAUGCCAAGGUCAAAAUCCAGGACAAGGAUGGAAUCGUGCCAGAUCAGCAGUAGCGUUUGAAUUUAGUCGGCAAGCAGCUUGAAAGUGGCCGCACCAUGUCCGGCUGUUGUCGGCGCAGUAUGAAGUUAGAAUCAGUCUCUCGACAAUGUUGCAUUUUUCUCAGAAUCUAUGCGAGAAACCAAACUUUGGAAGUGGUGCUUUCGAUUCGCAUCCAGAAGCACCCUACUUCCGAAGUAAGGUAUCUUGCAUGGAUACAGAGACAAAUCCAUUUUCGGCGAAAUGUAUUUUCUAACGAUUGACCGAACAUACAACACAACAUCCAGAAGGAGUCCACCCUCCACUUAGUGCUGCGCCUCCGCGGUGGUGUCAAGAAGCGCAGGAAGUUCUUCUCCACCUCCACCACAAAAUCAAGCACCGCAGGAAGAAGGUCAAACGCGUCGUCCUCAAGUACUACAAGGUCGACGAAAACGGCUAGAUCCAACGUUUGCGUCGUGAGUGCACCAUCGAGACCUGCUGUGCCGGAGUCUUCAUUGCCACCCACGAAGAUCAUCACUACUGCGGCAAGCGCCAUCUGAGACUGGUUUAUUCCAAGCAGGAGGAAAAGUAAAUUAUGGCAAGCCAUCGCCUUCGGGUGCUUUUUGCAUUUACUAAGUAGGGAAAAAGCACUAAUUUUUGACCUACAAGAAAUCUGUGCCAAUUUUCGGAUUUUUAUACAAAGUAGAUCAAAAUCGAAAAUUGGGUCUAAAAUUGGUGCUUUUCCACUAGCAACACCCGUGAGGAUCUACUCCAAUGUUUAAGGAUUACGAAAAAUAACGGGGUUCGAUCCACCACUUAAAAGCUUGAUACGGCUUCACAUUGCGUAUUGACACCUAAAAUAAAGAGAAUCCAACAAUGGUA